rnacentral:rRNA from 2 species
CAGUGAUAAACUGGAGGAAGGUGGGGAUGACGUCAAGUCAUCAUGGCCCUUACGACCAGGGCUACACACGUGCUACAAUGGCGCAUACAAAGAGAAGCGACCUCGCGAGAGCAAGCGGACCUCAUAAAGUGCGUCGUAGUCCGGAUUGGAGUCUGCAACUCGACUCCAUGAAGUCGGAAUCGCUAGUAAUCGUGGAUCAGAAUGCCACGGUGAAUACGUUCCCGGGCCUUGUACACACCGCCCGUCACACCAUGGGAGUGGGUUGCAAAAGAAGUAGGUAGCUUAACCUUCGGGAGGGCGCUUAC